AGUUGCAAGCGGUUGUUAUAUAAUUUCAUUUUUAAUUCAAUAUAUCACAGCCCUGCUUGGAACGCA
rnacentral:pre_miRNA from 1 species